CCUACGGGAGGCAGCAGUGAGGAAUAUUGGUCAAUGGACGAGAGUCUGAACCAGCCAAGUAGCGUGAAGGAUGACUGCCCUAUGGUUUGUAAACUUCUUUUAUAUGGGAAUAAAAUGUUCCACGUUUGGGAUUUUGUAUGUACCAUAUGAAUAAGGAUCGGCUAACUCCGUGCCAGCAGCCGCGGUAAUACGGAGGAUCCGAGCGUUAUCCGGAUUUAUUGGGUUUAAAGGGAGAGUAGGUGGAUUGUUAAGUCAGUUGUGGAAGUUUGGGGCUCAACCGUAAAAUUACAGUUGAAACUGGCAGUCGUGAGUACAGUAGAGGUGGGCGGAAUUCGUGGUGUAGCGGUGAAAUGCUUAGAUAUCACGAAGAACUCCGAUUGCGAAGGCAGCUCACUGGACUGCAACUGACACUGAGGCUCGAAAGUGUGGGUAUCAAACAGGAUUAGAUACCCGGGUAGUC
rnacentral:rRNA from 1 species